GAGACAUUUUGUGAGUUCAGGGCAUUUUCUCCAGUCUGUGUGACCCUCGUGGAGCUCCAUUUUGGGAAAAUGUAGGCACCAGCCUUCAGGGUCUGUGGAAGACAGUGCAGGUAGGUCUCAGCCUGCCCGUACAUUUAUCCCACAAACAAGGACCAUGCGCCUGUAUGCAAGACACCUGUACAUAGGCGGGGCAGAUCCAGAGAAUAACAACGCUGCUGACCUCAAGAAGCUGAGGCUCUAGAAGGGGAGAAAGAGGCAUAAAGAAUUGCCACUGAGGGUGUGAAGUGCUGUAGCAGAAAUGUGACCAGCAAGCUCUGGAAACUCUGUGGAACAGCUUUAUACUCUCUGAGUGCUUAUUGUGGGGAGACUCUGGGUGAUCCUGAAACAUGUGAACCUGAGGCAAAAAGGUAAAGUACCUUUGGGUCCUUGAAGCAGCAGUGAUUUCUACAGAUGCAAGCACUACAUCUAAGAUUCCGUCCUGCCCUCUGCCCUACCUGUCACACAGGCUUGUGUGAAGACCAGUUGUGAUAAUAAUACAUGGUAUAUGGACAUAUCUUGCUAACUGUAAAGCACCAUAACACCGGUUAUGCUCUGCUGAAAUGUUGUUUACAUAGUUCUCUGUCAGAAGCAUCCUACACUUAGCAAGAUAAAUCUCGUCUCUAAUCCGGAUGCAGAGAGACGUCUUGUGCCGAGGAAAGGAAGACCCCUACCCUCAUGACAUCCAUAUAAAUCACGGGUUUUAUUUCUCUGCUGUGAGGGGCAUUACAGAUUGGAGCAACGUUGCAGACUCUCAUUGGGUGAUGCUUCAUUACUUGGCAGAAAAUCCCCAGGGCCAAAGUGUUAUUUAAAUGUGCGAUGAAAAUAAAUGUGCUUUAUACGUGUGUCGUCUGUGGAGACGUUCUUCCUGGGACUCCAGGUGCUGUUGUG